rnacentral:tRNA from 1 species
UCCCUGGUAGUAUAUCGGUUAGUACACGCGCCUGUCAUGACAUAGUUCAUGUACUGUUAGGAUGCCGCGCGAAAGCUGGGUUCGACUCCCAGCCAGGGAG